rnacentral:lncRNA from 1 species
AGACUGUCAUGGUGGGGAGGGCAGGGUAGGAGCAGGGUCAGGAGGCAGCUGGUCACAAGCACCCACAGUCAGGAUACAGAGAGAUGGGGGCUGGGCUCAGCUCUCUUUCUCCUUUUCAUUCAGUCCGUGGCUCCGGCCCUUGGCACGGUGCUGCCUACAUUCAGGGAGGAUUUUGUUUGCUAAGUUAAAUCUCUCUGGAGCUGUGUCUCCUCUGUGAUUCUGAAUCCAGCCAUGUUGACAAUGAAGAUGAACAUCCCACACUCCAUCUUGGACGUUUCCUGGAAAGACAUCAAUGCCCGGCCCGACAUGUGCGUUUUUUGAACAUCACUUUUCCGUCUUUCCUGCUGUCGGUACUCGGGUUAGCUUGGCUGCCAUGCUGACCCUUUGAUCAGAGCCUGCCACUCCUGCUCCCGGCUAGCUGCUUCAAACCCUGAGGCAGAGUUUCCGUGUUACCACCUAGAAGCUGCUGCAGCUUCACCUCAUGGGUGAAGGGUCCGACUCCUCUUCCUCCUGGACGCCCUCCAAGCUGCCUGGGUCAUGAUGAGCUCCCUGAACCUCUGGGGUGACUCCUGCUGCUGCAGCUAAUUGUGUUUGGUUCUGUCCUCCAGUAGAGCUGAGCAGAAGCAAGGAAAUCAAAUCAAAUCAAGAUGACAUUUAUUUAAUGUGGGCUAACCGUCAGGCGCCCCACUGGGGGCGUUGGCACCUCACUCUAAUUUGCUUCUCACCGAGCAGCCCCGCAAAUGGAAUAACCGGACUCACACUUUUUUGUGCACAUAAAGAAACCAAAACAAGACAGACAGCAUCCCAAGAACAAUGUCACACACAAAGAGGAAGGAACAGGUGCCACAUGGCUCAGGCCAUCCGGUUACCCGACCCCUCUGAACCCUGUGUUACCCAGCCUGGGUCUCCUCUGACCACACCCUCCAGAAGGGCUGGGAAGGACCAACUUGGAGUCUGU